rnacentral:rRNA from 1 species
UCGGGAAUUUUGGGCAAUGGGCGAAAGCCUGACCCAGCAACGCCGCGUGAAGGAUGAAGUAUUUCGGUAUGUAAACUUCGAAAGAAUAGGAAGAAUAAAUGACGGUACUAUUUAUAAGGUCCGGCUAACUACGUGCCAGCAGCCGCGGUAAUACGUAGGGACCAAGCGUUGUUCGGAUUUACUGGGCGUAAAGGGCGCGUAGGCGGCAAUUCAAGUCAUCUGUGAAAUCUCCGGGCUUAACUCGGAACGGUCAGAUGAUACUGCUUUGCUAGAGUGCAGAAGGGGCGAUCGGAAUUCUUGGUGUAGCGGUGAAAUGCGUAGAUAUCAAGAGGAACACCUGAGGUGAAGACGGGUUGCUGGGCUGACACUGACGCUGAGGCGCGAAAGCCAGGGGAGCAAACGGGAUUAGAUACCCCCGUAGUCCCUGAGCGGGCUGGCAAGGCGCAU